rnacentral:rRNA from 1 species
ACGAACGCUGGCGGCAUGCCUCACACAUGCAAGUCGAACGAGACCUUCGGGUCUAGUGGCGCCCGGGUGCGUAACGCGUGGGAACCUGCCCUUAGGUUCGGAAUAACUCCCCGAAAGGGGUGCUAAUACCGGAUAAUGUCUUCGGACCAAAGAUUUAUCGCCUUUGGAUGGGCCCGCGUUGGAUUAGCUAGUUGGUAGGGUAAAAGCCUACCAAGGCGACGAUCCAUAGCUGGUCUGAGAGGAUGAUCAGCCACACUGGGACUGAGACACGGCCCAGACUCCUACGGGAGGCAGCAGUGGGGAAUAUUGGACAAUGGGCGAAAGCCUGAUCCAGCAAUGCCGCGUGAGUGAUGAAGGCCUUAGGGUUGUAAAGCUCUUUUACCCGGGAUGAUAAUGACAGUACCGGGAGAAUAAGCUCCGGCUAACUCCGUG